CCAAUUUGGUCGUCCAUUGAGGUUACUAGUGGCUCUGUCCAAGUGGUAUAUGGCAGCAUAGCUCUAAGUGCAGUGGUGUACAAUCCCCUUCCAGUGUCGAAGAGCAAGCCUGUCUCUGGUUCUAGAGCUGACAAGGACAGCAUCCUAUAUAUUUUUAUAACCUCUCAGUCUCUAGACAAGUACUGAGGAGAAACUUUGCAGGGUGCAACU
ensembl:snoRNA SNORA73 Small nucleolar RNA SNORA73 family